AUGUCAUAUAAAUGGAGUCACAUGCUGAGUAACUUUUUGAGACCAACUUCCUUCACUCAGCACAACCUUUGAGAUUGACCAUACUUCAUUUCUUUGUAUCGCCAAGUAGUGUUCCGUUGUGUAGAAGCACCACGUUUCUUUAUCCACUUACCCACGAAGGACGUUUGGGUCGUUUCAUUUUUUGAUGGCUGUGAGUAAUGCCGCUAGAAACGCUCAUGUACGAAUCUUCCUAGGAGUGAGAUGACUGGGCCAUAUGGCUUUGGGUGAGCUGGACCUUGACGGAGAAGUCGAAUUAAAGAGGCACCCUUUGUCCUGUAGCGUUGUUUGGUGCAUCAGUGCGAUCAUUCAUCCUUCCAGGAACUCCCAAAUCGGACGCCUACGAGGCAAGGCAGGAGGUCUUCAAAUCCUGGUGCGUGUUUGACCCUGGCAGCCCAUCUUAUAGCCCGUCACAGCACACAUCCUGUGGUCACCUGUCAAGGGGUCAACGGCCACAUGCGAUUGGUCACCUUAGUGGACGGCACUG